AGAGCGAACGCUGGCGGCAGGCUUAACACAUGCAAGUCGAGCGGGCGUAGCAAUACGUCAGCGGCAGACGGGUGAGUAACGCGUGGGAACAUACCUUUUGGUUCGGAACAACCCAGGGAAACUUGAGCUAAUACCGGAUACGCCCUUACGGGGAAAGAUUUAUUGCCGAAGGAACGGCCCGCGUCCGAUUAGCUAGUUGGUGAGGUAAUGGCUCACCAAGGCUACGAUCGGUAGCUGGUCUGAGAGGAUGACCAGCAUCACUGGGACUGAGACACGGCCCAGACUCCUACGGGAGGCAGCAGUGGGAAUAUGGACAAUGGGCGCAAGCCUGAUCCAGCCAUGCCGCGUGAGUGAUGACGGCCUUAGGGUUGUAAAGCUCUUUCACCCACGACGAUAAUGACGGUAGUGGGAGAAGACGCCCGGCUAACGUUCGCGCCAGCAGCCGC
rnacentral:rRNA from 1 species